CGUAAUGGUGGGCACUCUGGAGAGACUGCCGGUGACAAACCGGAGGAAGGUGGGGAUGACGUCAAGUCAGCAUGGCCUUUAUGUCUGGGGCUACACACGUGCUACAAUGGCCGAUACAAAGCGUUGCAAACUCGCGAGGGUGAGCUAAUCGCAUAAAGUCGGUCUCAGUUCGGAUUGCAGGCUGCAACUCGCCUGCAUGAAGUUGGAAUCGCUAGUAAUCGCGGAUCAGCAUGCCGCGGUGAAUACGUUCC
rnacentral:rRNA from 1 species